rnacentral:rRNA from 1 species
GAUAAACGCUGGCGGCGCACAUAAGACAUGCAAGUCGAACGAACUUAAUCGUUAGUUUACUAAUGAAGCGGUUAGUGGCGGACUGGUGAGUAACACGUAAGCAACCUGCCUAUUAGAGGGGAACAACAGUUAGAAAUGACUGCUAAUACCGCAUAUGCCAUAAGUAUCGCAUGAUACAAGUGGGAAAGGAGCAAUCCGCUAAUAGAUGGGCUUGCGUCUGAUUAGAUAGUUGGUGGGGUAACGGCCUACCAAGUCGACGAUCAGUAGCCGAGUUGAGAGACUCUACGGCCACAUUGGGACUGAGAUACGGCCCAGACUCCUACGGGAGGCAGCAGUCGGGAAUAUUGCGCAAUGGAGGAAACUCUGACGCAGUGACGCCGCGUGCAGGAAGAAGGUUUUCGGAUUGUAAACUGCUUUAGACAGGGAAGAAAAAGACAGUACCUGUAGAAUAAGCUCCGGCUAACUACGUGCCAGCAGCCGCGGUAAUACGUAGGGAGCAAGCGUUAUCCGGAUUUAUUGGGUGUAAAGGGUGCGUAGACGGGAAAAUAAGUUAGUUGUGAAAUCCCCAUGCUUAACAUGGGAACUGCAACUAAAACUGUUUUUCUUGAGUGCUGGAGAGGAAAGUGGAAUUCCUAGUGUAGCGGUGAAAUGCGUAGAUAUUAGGAGGAACACCAGUGGCGAAGGCGACUUUCUGGACAGUAACUGACGUUGAGGCACGAAAGUGUGGGGAGCAAACAGGAUUAGAUACCCUGGUAGUCCACACCGUAAACGAUGGAUAAGAGGUGUAGGGUGUGAUAAACGCUUCUGUGCCGUCGCAAACGCAGUAAU